rnacentral:rRNA from 1 species
UACGUAGGGUGCAAGCGUUGUCCGGAAUUAUUGGGCGUAAAGAGCUCGUAGGCGGUCUGUCGCGUCGGCUGUGAAAACCCGGAGCUCAACUCCGGGCCUGCAGUCGAUACGGGCAGACUGGAGUUCGGCAGGGGAGACUGGAAUUCCUGGUGUAGCGGUGAAAUGCGCAGAUAUCAGGAGGAACACCGGUGGCGAAGGCGGGUCUCUGGGCAGUAACUGACGCUGAGGAACGAAAGCGUGGGUAGCAAACAGG